AACGAACGCUGGCGGCAGGCCUAACACAUGCAAGUCGAGCGCCCCGCAAGGGGAGCGGCGGACGGGUGAGUAACGCGUGGGAACGUGCCCUUUGCUACGGAAUAGCCUCGGGAAACUGGGAGUAAUACCGUAUGUGCCCUACGGGGGAAAGAUUUAUCGGCAAAGGAUCGGCCCGCGUUGGAUUAGGUAGUUGGUGGGGUAAUGGCCUACCAAGCCGACGAUCCAUAGCUGGUUUGAGAGGAUGAUCAGCCACACUGGGACUGAGACACGGCCCAGACUCCUACGGGAGGCAGCAGUGGGGAAUCUUAGACAAUGGGCGCAAGCCUGAUCCAGCCAUGCCGCGUGAGCGAUGAAGGCCUUAGGGUUGUAAAGCUCUUUCAGUGGGGAAGAUAAUGACGGUACCCACAGAAGAAGCCCCGGCUAACUACGUGCCAGCCGCCGCGGUAAGAC
rnacentral:rRNA from 1 species